GACGAACGCUGGCGGCGUGCUUAACACAUGCAAGUCGAACGGAGUGGCGAACUGGUGAGUAACACGUGGGUGAUCUGCCUUGCACUUCGGGAUAGGCUUGGGAAACUGGGUCUAAUACCGGAUAGUGAAGGAUGGGCUCGCGGCCUUUCAGCUUGUUGGUGGGGUAAUGGCCUACCAAGGCGUCGCCGGGUAGCCGGCCUGAGAGGGUGUACGGACAAAUGGGGACUGAGAUGCGGCACAGACUCGUACGGGAGGUAGCAGUGGGGAAUAUUGCACAAUGGGCGGAAGCCUGAUGCAGCGACGCCGCGUGGGGGAUGAAGGUCUUCGGGUUGUAAACACCGUUCGACAGGGACGCGGUACCUGUAUAAGAAGCACCGGCUAACUACGGGCCAGCAGCCGCGGUAAUAC
rnacentral:rRNA from 1 species